rnacentral:rRNA from 1 species
CCCUUAGAUGUUCGGGGCCGCACGCGCGCUACACUGACGGAAUCAGCACGUCUUUCUCCUUGUCCGAAAGGACUGGGUAACCCGCUGAACCUCCUUCGUGCUAGGGAUUGGGGCUUGUAAUUCUUCCCCAUGAACGAGGAAUUCCCAGUAAGCGCGAGUCAUAAGCUCGCGUUGAUUACGUCCCUGCCCUUUGUACACACCGCCCGUCGCUACUACCGAUUGGAUGGUUUAGUGAGAUCCUCGGAUUGGUCCCGGCGCGGCCUCUGGUCGUGCCGGAGUGCCGAAAAGAAUGUCGAACUUGAUCAUCUAGAGGAAGUAAAAGUCGUAACA